AGUAACUUUUUGUUCUUUUUUUAACAAUUGUUAGUUUGCCCAAAAAUUGUUAAUUUUAAAAUUUUUAAAAAUUGAUAUAAAAUGUUAAUUGGUAUCAAUAUUAUUAUUAGGUAUAAAUUUAUUAUUAAUAUAAUGUUAAUUAUAUGAUUUAUAUAUGUGUCAUCAUCAUUAUGUACUGCCAACAAAUAAUAAGAAAUGUAAUGGUCAAUCUCAAUCCAUGUGAAAAUGACGGAUGAAUCCAUAAUUUUUUUUUUGUUUUGUUCGUCCAAUUAAAUGCAAAAUCGACGGCAUGCUUCGAGCAAUCAUUCAAAACGAAAAAUAGAUUCGAUCGGUUAAGCAGAAAAUGAAAUUAAGCCCUCCCUAAAGCAGAGCAGAGAUGCAGCAGCAACGGCCGCAGCACCACCAGUCAAGACGGAGCCGAGAUGCAGCAGCACCAAUCAAUCCUCAACAGACAUGCAGCAGUAUCAGUCGAUCCACCAUGGCCGAAGCAGAGCAAAGAUGCGCCACCACCACCACCACUAGUCGAGAUGGAGCUGAGACGCAGUAGCUGAUUUUGGUUGGAGAACUGUCACGGAGAGAAAGAGAGUUGUGGAUGAGAGAGAUGAGAGAGAGAUGUGUAUAUUGAUCGGGUUUUGUUUUGCAAUUUAUUCUAAAAUUUGGUUUGUGAUUCACUGAGAACGUGUUUCUCAGUUUUAUAACUGUAAAUGCUAAUCUGAAUUAUUUGUUUUACAGUUUAUUUUUUUAAUUCAGCGGACCGAACGGGUAUUACAUUUAAACUCCAAAAACGAAAAUGAAAAUAAG
rnacentral:lncRNA from 1 species